UACGUAGGUCCCAAGCGUUGUCCGGAUUUAUUGGGCGUAAAGCGAGCGCAGGUGGUUUCUUAAGUCUGAUGUAAAAGGCAGUGGCUCAACCAUUGUGUGCAUUGGAAACUGGGAGACUUGAGUGCAGGAGAGGAGAGUGGAAUUCCAUGUGUAGCGGUGAAAUGCGUAGAUAUAUGGAGGAACACCGGAGGCGAAAGCGGCUCUCUGGCCUGUAACUGACACUGAGGCUCGAAAGCGUGGGGGCAAACAGGAUUAGAUACCCCAGUAGUCC
rnacentral:rRNA from 1 species